GGGAUCUUAACCUUCAAAUCUCCAGGGUACUGUAAAAAAAAAAAAAAAAAAAGAAGAAAAAAACAAAACAAAACAAAACCUUAUGAUUAAGACUGACUGACACCUGUUUAUUUGACUAAAUCCAUCCCCAAGCCUGGGUUUCUUCCCCAGUGGUCCUAUGAUGAUCUUGGAUCAGAAAGAUCCCCUGGAGUAGGAAAUGGUAACCCACUCCAGUAUUCUCACCUGGAGAAUCCCAUGGAUUGAGGAGCCUGGCAGGCUACAGCCCAUGGAGUCGCAAAGAGUUGGACAUGACUGAGUAAACAUGGGUGCACCCACAGGUCCCCAAGCCCAUCACUUUCUCCUAAAAUGUAAACUAGUUGGGAAUAGGGGGAAGAGGGACAAGGAGGGGUAAGAAAAUAAGAUGUAUAAAACCACAGGUUCAUGUAAACAAAAAGAAAACUUGUUCCCUUCUCCCCACUCCAAAAAAAAUGCAGUCUCUUUCUAAUUACAAGUACAGGAUCAUCACCCGCCCAUUCCAAAAAAAAAUACUUAGCCUUGGUCAAACCUGGGAGCCAAACCAUAAUGAGUAAAAAGUUUGCAUCUACAGCAGAGUACUGGAUUACAUAAACCAUCAUCUUAUGUGAUCCACUCACAUACAAAUACAUUUUAUACCAUUUAUAUGGCACACAAUACAAAUUGUCACUCAGAUAUACAGACCUAGAAGAAAAAGGACAUGGCUAGGUCUUUGUUUUACUUCAAUGUUGUAAUAUUAUGAUGAUUUUAUUACUGCUAAAGGUUAUAAUUAUUUUUAAUCAUAAUAAAACAUACCAUCACUCUCAUUUUCUUAUCUUCUCUAGAGUACUGAAGGUAAUAGGGUAACACAGGAAACACAAUGAUUACCAAAAGCACUAAGCAAAGGACAAAAGGUAAACCUAAAAAAACAAUGGUUGGUCCACUAGUCACUUAAUCAAAUAUUUUACUGCCUUCUCUGCACAGACACUAUUCAAGACAAAAAAAAAAAAAAAAAAAGAAAAUUAAAUGUACCCAUUAUUGUACUAUCUCAUAUUGUUUUCAACCAUUAAUGUCAUUACUGUUUCAUUUUGGGGUAGCUGUCUCUAGAUGUUUAUCUCUACAUAUGCAACAUCAGUUUCUUUUUAAGCAAACUGGUUUCUUUCAUAGAAUGGAUUGAGUAGAAAUGACUAUGGAAUUUGGA
rnacentral:lncRNA from 1 species